AAGUCGUAACAAGGUCUCCGUUGGUGAACCAGCGGAGGGAUCAUUACAGAGUUGCAAAACUCCCAAACCAUUGUGAACGUUACCAUUAUCGUUGCUUCGGCGGCGGCGCCCAGCGCUCCCAGGCCCCCUCGCGGGGCGCCCGCCGGAGGUUACCUAACUCUUGACAACUGUAUGGCCUCUCUGAGUCUCUAUACUUAAUAAGUUAAAACUUUCAACAACGGAUCUCUUGGUUCUGGCAUCGAUGAAGAACGCAGCGAAAUGCGAUAAGUAAUGUGAUUGCAGAAUUCAGUGAAUCAUCGAAUCUUUGAACGCACAUUGCGCCCGCCAGUAUUCUGGCGGGCAUGCCUGUUCGAGCGUCAUUUCAACCAUCAAGCCCCAGGCUUGUGUUGGGGACCUGCGGCUGCCGCAGGCCCUGAAAACCAGUGGCGGGCUCGCUAGUCACACCGAGCGUAGUAGCAUACACAUCGCUCAGGGCGUGCUGCGGGUUCCGGCCGUUAAACCCCUUUUUUACCCAAGGUUGACCUCGGAUCAGGUAGGAAGACCCGCUGAACUUAA
rnacentral:rRNA from 1 species